AAGCAUUAUACCGUGAAACUGCGAAUGGCUCAUUAAAUCAGUUAUCGUUUAUUUGAUAGUACCUUACUACUUGGAUAACCGUGGUAAUUCUAGAGCUAAUACAUGCUUACAACCUCGACUUCGGAAGGGGUGUAUUUAUUAGAUAAAAAACCAACGCCCUUCGGGGCUUCUUGGUGAUUCAUGAUAACUUUACGGAUCGCAUGGCCUUGCGCCGGCGACGGUUCAUUCAAAUUUCUGCCCUAUCAACUUUCGAUGGUAAGGUAUUGGCUUACCAUGGUUUCAACGGGUAACGGGGAAUUAGGGUUCGAUUCCGGAGAGGGAGCCUGAGAAACGGCUACCACAUCCAAGGAAGGCAGCAGGCGCGCAAAUUACCCAAUCCCAAUACGGGGAGGUAGUGACAAUAAAUACUGAUACAGGGCUCUUUUGGGUCUUGUAAUUGGAAUGAGUACAAUUUAAACCUCUUAACGAGGAACAAUUGGAGGGCAAGUCUGGUGCCAGCAGCCGCGGUAAUUCCAGCUCCAAUAGCGUAUAUUAAAGUUGUUGCAGUUAAAAAGCUCGUAGUUGAACCUUGGGUCUGGCUGGCAGGUCCGCCUCACCGCGUGUACUUGUCCGGCCGGGCCUUCCUUCUGGAGAACCUCAUGCCCUUCACUGGGCGUGUUGGGGACCAGGACUUUUACUUUGAAAAAAUUAGAGUGUUCAAAGCAGGCCUUUGCUCGAAUACGUUAGCAUGGAAUAAUAGAAUAGGACGUGCGGUCCUAUUUUGUUGGUUUCUAGGACCGCCGUAAUGAUUAAUAGGGACAGUCGGGGGCAUCAGUAUUCAAUUGUCAGAGGUGAAAUUCUUGGAUUUAUUGAAGACUAACUACUGCGAAAGCAUUUGCCAAGGAUGUUUUCAUUAAUCAGUGAACGAAAGUUAGGGGAUCGAAGACGAUCAGAUACCGUCGUAGUCUUAACCGUAAACUAUGCCGACUAGGGAUCGGGCGAUGUUAUUUUUCUGACUCGCUCGGCACCUUACGAGAAAUCAAAGUUUUUGGGUU
rnacentral:rRNA from 1 species